AUAAAUAUUAUCAACUGAAAACAAGCUGCUACAUCUUGCUGCAAAGUUGCUUGUAAGUUAUUUUUGUCUUGUUUAAAGUGAACUAAGGUAUUUGCAGUAGAUGAAAAUCUUUGUAAGAU